AGUGAACGCUGGCGGCGUGCCUAAUACAUGCAAGUCGAACGGAGUGGCGCACGGGUGAGUAAUGUAUAGCUAAUCUGCCCUACACUAGAGGACAACAGGGGGAAACAACUGCUAAUACUCGAUAGUGUAGGAUGAGGCUAUAUUGUAUCAGCUAGUUGGUGAGGUAAUGGCUCACCAAGGCUAUGACGCAUAACUGGUCUGCGAGGAGGAUCAGUCACACUGUAACUGAGACACGGUCCAGCCUCCUACGGGAGGCAGCAGUAGGGAAUAUUGCUCAAUGGGGGAAACCCUGAAGCGUCAACGCCGCGUGGAGGAUGACACUUUUCGGAGCGUAAACUCCUUGUGUAAGGGAAGCGGUACCUAACGAAUAAGCACCGGCUAACUCCGUGCCAGCAGCCGCGGUAAUUC
rnacentral:rRNA from 1 species